rnacentral:rRNA from 1 species
AUUUAGAGGAAGGAGAAGUCGUAACAAGGUUUCCGUAGGUGAACCUGCGGAAGGAUCAUUGUCGAAUACCGAAAAUCGGAACCAACGCGAACUUGUAACCCUAACGCACCGCUCUCGGGCGGGGCAACCCCCUGCGGAUGGACGGCCCUCGGGUCGGACUCCCGCAGGAACAAAACCCCGGCGCAGUGGGCGCCAAGGAACACUCGAUCAAAGCGUCGAACCUCCGCGUCCGUCCCCUUAAAAAGGUACGAACGAGGGGGUGCUUCGCGGACCAGCAUAGAAGUAUGUACAAUUGUACGACUCUCGGCAACGGAUAUCUAGGCUCUCGCAUCGAUGAAGAACGUAGCGAAAUGCGAUACUUGGUGUGAAUUGCAGAAUCCCGUGAACCAUCGAGUCUUUGAACGCAAGUUGCGCCCGAGACCAUCCGGUCGAGGGCACGCCUGCCUGGGCGUCACGCCUCGUAUCGCUCCGCACACCUCCUCUUCGGGGAAGGAAGCUGCGGACGCGGAGAUUGGCCUUCCGUUCCUAGCGUGCGGUGGGCUUAAGUGAGGGCCGUCGUCGGGCCUAGCGCGGCGAGUGGUGGACGAUUUAACAAACGGCUCCGUCAACGCGCUACGGUCCAGAUUCGACGCUUCUGGCCCGGAACGAAAGGACCCAUACCGGGAUGCGCUUGCGCUUCUUCGGAUCGCGACCCCA